rnacentral:rRNA from 1 species
AGUGAACGCUGGCGGUAGGCCUAACACAUGCAAGUCGAACGGCAGCACAGUAAGAGCUUGCUCUUACGGGUGGCGAGUGGCGGACGGGUGAGGAAUACAUCGGAAUCUACUUUUUCGUGGGGGAUAACGUAGGGAAACUUACGCUAAUACCGCAUAUGACCUACGGGUGAAAGCAGGGGAUCUUCGGACCUUGCGCGAUUGAAUGAGCCGAUGUCGGAUUAGCUAGUUGGCGGGGUAAAGGCCCACCAAGGCGACGAUCCGUAGCUGGUCUGAGAGGAUGAUCAGCCACACUGGAACUGAGACACGGUCCAGACUCCUACGGGAGGCAGCAGUGGGGAAUAUUGGGCAAUGGGCGCAAGCCUGAUCCAGCCAUACCGCGUGGGUGAAGAAGGCCUUCGGGUUGUAAAGCCCUUUUGUUGGGAAAGAAAAGCAGCAGGUUAAUACCCCGCUGUUCUGACGGUACCCAAAGAGUAAGCACCGGCUAACUUCGUG